rnacentral:rRNA from 1 species
AAUCAACGCUGGCGGCGUGCCUAACACAUGCAAGUCGAGCGAGAAAAGGGGAGCAAUCCCCUGAGUACAGCGGCGCACGGGUGAGUAACACGUGGGUAAUCUGCCCUGAAGUGGGGAAUAACACCGGGAAACCGGUGCUAAUACCGCAUAUGAUCACGGUGUCUGCGGACACAGGGAUGAAAGGAGCAAUUCGCUUCAGGAGGAGCCCGCGGCUGAUUAGCUAGUUGGUGAGGUAAUGGCUCACCAAGGCAACGAUCAGUAUCCGGUCUGAGAGGACGGUCGGACACACUGGAACUGAGACACGGUCCAGACUCCUACGGGAGGCAGCAGUGGGGAAUUUUUCGCAAUGGGGGCAACCCUGACGAAGCAACGCCGCGUGGGUGAUGAAGUCUCUUGGGACGUAAAACCCUUACGACAGGGAAGAAACCGCAAGGUUGACGGUACCUGUAGAAGAAGCCCCGGCUAACUCCGUGCCAGCAGCCGCCGUAA